rnacentral:rRNA from 1 species
CACGUAGGGGGCGAGCGUUGUUCGGAUUUAUUGGGCGUAAAGGGCGUGUAGGCGGUUCUGCAAGCCUGGUGUGAAAUACGCGAGCUCAACUCGCGUUCCGCGCCGGGGACUGUGGGACUAGAGUUUCGGAAGGGAAGCUGGAAUUCCAGGUGUAGGGGUGAAAUCUGUAGAUAUCUGGAAGAACACCGGUGGCGAAGGCGAGCUUCUGGCCAGAGACUGACGCUGAGGCGCGAAAGCGUGGGGAG